rnacentral:lncRNA from 1 species
AGGGGAGAUAUGUGUAAAAAAGAUAGCAAAAAGCGUAUAGGCUGAAAACUGAAAUUCACAGCUUCUGACAUAUUGAUGGUGGUUGUUGCUAUCUGAACUGUUGAUUCACAUUUUCAAAUAAGAUUAAAGUACCAAAGUGGAUACUAGUAUAAACUCAUUCACUUUCUUUAAAACAAAAAUUGCAGUUUUGCAUUAAUACACACUACAUUGCAGGAUGGUAGAGCUCGUUUAAUAACUGGUAAUUGUUUAAUGAUCAAUUCUUCAACAUUUGGGUCCAACUGCAUUUGUUGGAAAGGUCUGUUUUUAUACUAACAAAACAAGAUGAACCAUUAUUAUGAAGUCACUAAUAUCUCUGAGCUAGCCACAGCCUAAAGUAUAGAUGAACAUUUUACGUGGUAAAUGUAAGAAAUGAAACACAAAAAGAAAGAGAAAUUAUUAAAAGGACUUUCUAAGGCAGGUGGGUGGAGUAAUUAAUCAUGACAUGGAGGAAGGAUCGAGAGUUGUUGCUGAAUGGAGAAGCAACAGAAAUGAACAUAUGGUUUAUUUCACUUUUUGUUGAAUUUGUGAAAUCUGGGAUGAGGAAAGUGGUAUGGGUUGAACGUGUCUGUGCUAUAUCAUUAGACAUUUAUUUUUUUAUGAAGUAGCUGUCGGUAGAAAGAAGGCUUUAAUUGGGCAGAUGCAUAUAUAUAUUUAUUAUUAUUUAUAUAUUACUAUCAUCUCUGUAAAGAGUCCGCCUUUUCAGCUUCAGUCUAACAGAUAUAUCAUUAUACAUGUAUAAUGUAUUUACACAUGUAUCUCUGACACAGGGAAGAUACAGAUGGAGACAUAACUCAGUCCUCAGGGAGUUGGCUGACUGGCUGGAGGGAGAGAGAAAGAAGGAACGCAGAAGUAACACCCAUCAAAGUCAUAUUGCCUUUGUCAAGCCGGGUGAAUCUGCGAAAAGAGACAGUUCACAGCAAGCAUCAAUCCUAGACGGCACUGCCGGAUGGAACAUGGAAGUUGACCUCGGAAGGAGACCUGUAUUCCCAGACAUUGCCCAGACAACUUUGAGACCAGAUAUCGUCCUGUGGUCCAAGUCGGGGAAGAAGCUCACCGUCAUAGAGCUCACAGUAUCAUGGGAGACAAGAUGCGAGGAGGCCUACGAGAGGAAGAAGGCAAAGUACACAGAGCUUCUGAACCUUUGCAGGCAAAAAGGUUGGUGUACUUGGCUGUUCCCCGUUGAAGUAGGCGUGAGAGGGUUUUGUUCACAGUCCGUUUGCCGACUGAUGGCAGCAAUCGGAACUACUGGCAGAGAGAGACGGAAGGCCAUCCAGAGACUAAGCCAAUCUGCUGAACGUGCUUCUAGCUGGUUGUGGCUGAGACGGGAGGAAAAGAGCUGGAAGCAAUCAACCAACGCGCAGUGACUGAUCACCACUGUGGGCCCACCCGCCACGAGAGUGUUCAUGGAUUUUAGGGCCGAAACACCCGAUGACGGCGGACUCCAUGCUGAUGAUGUUGGUUGAGGAGCAGUCUACAGUACAUAACAGAGGGUACUACGACUGUAUCUCUACACACUAUAUUAUAUAUUGAUGAAUUAUCAAAUUUGAUAUAAAAAGAUAACAGGACAAUACAAUAUAUAAAUACGUUACGACGAAAUAAUAGGUAACAUAAUAUAUAUAUAUGUCAUAGAUUGACCCAUGCUGUAUUUAAUCGGCUACAAAAAAGUUACACGGCAUAUGAUUUAUCCCGUCUCUAUAUUUUCAAAAACAAAAUAACGAAUCGGGAAGUAAUGCUGUUCAAUGAAUGUAGGUGUCUCAUAAACCAACUUGGCUGGCUCUUACAGUAGGGUUAACACUAUAACAAACAAACACUUUACUUUACUUUACUUAACUUACACGCAUGAUUUUUAUAUUUUCUUUCCAUGAUAAUGCUGAUAUUUCUUUGACUUUAUAUAAAAGGCGUACGUAGGAUUUAUAUAGGCAGAUGGCCCCCAAUUUUUGAAAAAUAAUAAGAUUGAUGACAGUGUUGAAAAUCGACAGUUUUCACUACAAUAAACUUUAAACUACCGAACUGUGUCGUUUUUAAUAAUAACACAUUCUCAGUAUUGAUGUAAAAUGAGUUUAAAGUACAACCAGUACAGGCAUUUCGCGUUAAAAUCGCUGAAUUCGGCCAUUUCAGACUCAAAAUCCGCUUAUAAGCAACCCUUGCUUCAGUUAACAAUUUAUAACAGCUAUUUCAUUUAUUAAUUCUAUUUAAUAUUUUCCUAACCAGAAACUGAAGCAAGGGUUGCUAAUAAACGAAUUUUGGAAAAACUGAUAUUAUUUGUCUGGCCUUUCUCACGUAUAAUAGUGGCCUCCCUUGAAGCAAGGUGCUCGUUACCAGGCAAUAUUAUAGGUGGCACCGCUGUCAACAUGUGCAUGUGAAAACGAAAGUAGAUUGUUUAUCUAGGAAUUUUUACAACAUUUUACCCUUCUACAUUGAAUUUUUAAGAUAUAAUAGUAUGAAUAUAGAGAUGAUUAUUUAGUUACCUUCAACUGGUCAGUGGUCAAAAGGAGUAUUUCUGUAUGUCUUGAAGCAUUGAAUGCCCCAAACAACCAGUGUGAUAAGAAGACCAGAGUAUAUAGCUUCCCGAAAUGUUUAAAGACUAAGCUGUUUUUCUGUGGACUUGUAAUUUAAGUAUUUUGAAUGUUUGAUUUUUCUUUUUAACCUUAUGAUUGAAUAUUUCAUUUCAAUUAGUCAUGACACUAA